rnacentral:lncRNA from 1 species
GGAGCAAGUCAUGACCACUAGGGUGUCCUUUAAAAGAGAUGCUCUUUAAAUAUUUGUUCACUGUGUAUUUAGAGUAGAGGCUGAGAAUUUCAUGAGGGAAAGAGGAAAGGGACCAUCGCUCUGGAUAGUUAGACUGAAAUGGAGCUCAGGACCUCCUCUUAGCUCAGAGUAAAUUAAGGAAUGCAUUAUAGCUGUUAAAGCAAUCUUAAGGGAAAUCCGAAGCUUCCACUGCAGCACCAUGCUUAGAAGUUCCUGUUUUCUUCAAUGUCAAAUAGCAGUGAAAACAAAAAAUCUCCCACUUCCAGUUCUAGGAGAAUAUUAGGCUGCACAGAUCCAGAGACUAACUUCUGGAGUUCCAGGGAAGUGCUGAACCAGAUGUCCUGGUGCAUGAGGCCUGGUUUCUCUACCAUAGGGUCCAAAAGAGUGAAGUCCAUCAAACAUGGAUGCAUAAGGUAGAGGAAAAGAGUGACACAGAAUCCGUUACAUGAUGCUGCUGAGCAAGAAUUUUCAGUUGAUGAGAAUUACAUAUUAAAUAUGAAGCCCUUCAGGAAUCUGUUUCUUUCUAUCAGUGCGGUCUACCUUGUUGAUUUUUCAACAAAAUUGAGACCAGGAUCAUCUAAAAAGUAAAAAUCAUGACUUCUGACUAUUCUCU